UGGGGAAUAUUGCACAAUGGGCGCAAGCCUGAUGCAGCCAUGCCGCGUGUAUGAAGAAGGCCUUCGGGUUGUAAAGUACUUUCAGCGGGGAGGAAGGGAGUAAAGUUAAUACCUUUGCUCAUUGACGUUACCCGCAGAAGAAGCACCGGCUAACUCCGUGCCAGCAGCCGCGGUAAUACGGAGGGUGCAAGCGUUAAUCGGAAUUACUGGGCGUAAAGCGCACGCAGGCGGUUUGUUAAGUCAGAUGUGAAAUCCCCGGGCUCAACCUGGGAAAUGGAUCUGAUACUGGCAAGCUUGAGUCUCGUAGAGGGGGGUAGAAUUCCAGGUGUAGCGGUGAAAUGCGUAGAGAUCUGGAGGAAUACCGGUGGCGAAGGCGGCCCCCUGGACGAAGACUGACGCUCAGGUGCGAAAGCGUGGGGAGCAAACAGG
rnacentral:rRNA from 1 species